rnacentral:lncRNA from 1 species
AUGGUACUAUUUUUACUUGCUUCACUUCGAUUGUAUCAAACAACGUAAAAAUAGAUGAGACAUGUUUGAAACAAUAUGAAGCAUUAAUAGAAAAUAAAACAGACUUUAAGUUUCUAUAAUGAGAUUUACGACUACACAAAAAAAUAAAGUAAACACUACAGUGGCCUAUAAUAACUACUACAACAUUUUUGAAGUGCCCUCUGGAUGACUCUGAAACCAUCUUGUAUCGUAUGGGUCGUCGACUCUUUAUCAAGAAACAAGUUGAAAGAAGAAAACAGAGAGUUGGGGUUCAUCCUUAUUUGGUUGAUCCUAAUAUAUAAUAAAGUUUCCCUAAUGCUUGAUGAUUUCAAGAGAAGGUGUGACAAAAGAAGAUGAUCGGACGCGAGACUGUCCACUUGUCCGGGAAGAGAACCAAAGACAAGAAGAGAAAACAACUCUCAAAACUCUUCUCAGGACUUCUCCUCUCUUUGGGACUAGACUAGCUCCUCUUCCAGCCAUUUCUUUUUGUCUUUCUGCUCGGUUUAUGUCGGUUUGAUUUGGUUUAGUAGUAGUAGUGAUGAGAUAUGUGUCUGCAAGCUGGAACUGCCGACAUGACUCUAAUAUAGGAAGCGUUGUAACGAUAUACAGUGACCGCGUUAAAAUUCUCAAUACGCGUUGGCUCGUUCUUAUUUUUCUUCUUUUCAUGCAAAUUCAUUUAUGAUUUUGGAAAUUUGUAUAUAUUUUGGGAUAAUAUAUGUUGCAUAAAAGUGAUUAAUAAUAGGUUUACUUUUGAAUAGUUACUGUUCAUAGUUUGAAGUGGUCCUAGACUCUCUUUUUUUCUAUGGUACCAAGUUAACGCGUUUUUAGUUUUGUUAUUAAUACUAGGGCCGGAGCUCCGCGCAAGCGCGGGUUGUUGACGUUACCGUAAGUUGUCUAGGAUUUGCCGCAGUUUGUGAACCUGUCACUAAAAUUGUGCAGUAGCUGUGGGAAAAAUUGUAUAUUAUGCUUUUCAUAUGGGUGAUUAUACGUUUGAUGUUUCUCUGAAUUAGUUUUAGUAUUUUCAUUAGGGGUUUUAUAUGUGCUAUAGUUCGUUUAUUGAUUUGGUGGUGUUUUUGGGUGUGAGUAAGGUUAUUUUAAAAGUCCAUUGUAGAGUUAGUAAUUAAAACUACAGCAAUUACAAAAGUCCGUUUAGCAUUGUGCAACUUUACUGAUUUAUAAAGUUGGGGACAUUGGUAAAUAAGCAAAGACACGUAGACUCUUUCUUUAUUAUUUAAAGUUGUAGUAAUUCUUAUACCAGUAAAAAAUAGUUUGCAGCAAAUCAAAGAGAACUAAAGCUCAAAGUUGAAAAAACACGGAAGUAGAAAAUUAAAAUGAAACGAAAUCUAAGUGGAGUUGACGGUUAGAUGACCUUGCGACAAUCAAUCAAGGAAGCGUUUGCGGGUGUUCUCGUCACCAGCAGAACCUAUCAGGCUUGCUUCAGCAACUCCCAGUGGAAUCUUUGGCACAUCACCCAGGUUGCUGGCAGAUUCUGUUGCUUGUCCAGAUUCCAUAUCCAUGACUGGAGCUGGGUCGCUGCUGCUACUCUAAGAAACAGUAGAACAUGUGUGUUAAUUUAUAUUAGCAGUUUUAAAAACUGUGAAUACAUAGAUUACCCCACCUCUGCCUCGGUGCCAAAUAAAUAUUAGCAGUUUUAAAAACUGUGAGUACAUACAUAUAUAUAUAUAUAUAUAUAUAUAUUAGGUUGUUACUUUAAAAAUGGAUCGGGAAUAACAGUUCAUACCUGAUGUCCGGUCACGUUGGAAGAAACACACCUGUUGCAACGGAAGAAAGUGCCAGAUUUUGUAAGCUUCCUGCUGCAACUGGUGCAAGAAAUAAACGCCCAGCCAUUUUGUUGGAGGACACCAACAAUCUGAACCUUGCAAAUAAAAUCAGCUUCUUGAGGAUGACAACAUUGCUAACAUUAGUUGAUACUAUUUUGGAACCACAUAAGAGUACUAAAGUAUGUUUAAAGACGGAGUGUUACCUGCUGCCCAUUGGAGUUGGAGUUGAAGAUGAAAGUGUGAAGAUCUCCUAUUGACAUUAGUUCCUUCUUUUUAAUACCUUCUAUGGAAUCAACUCGAGUUCCAUGACACAAGUACAACAACGGAACUGGAAUGGGAGAAUAUUUUAGUUUAAAAAAAAAACAAUGAGCUAAGCAUUUUAAAAUAUUAGUACGUAAGUUCAUGACUUAUGGGUCAAUUAGGAGACAGACCUCAUUUCGUAAGUUGUUCAGGUCAGAGCCUUGAACAAUACGGAUUUGUCCAAACACAUCUGAAAAUGAAAGCAUUUUUUAAUAAUGAAAACAUAGUAUAUGUAGAUUGUGGUUGAAAUUUAACAUGCAAAACUCUAUUGAAAACUAUACCGGAGGCUAUAAGUUAGUGUUUGCAAGAGCUUGGAGAUGGUCGAACUUUCAAAGGAUGAAUUUCUGGAGAUUGAUAACAGUUGAAAUCAUGGCAAAUUCAUCAAUAGUUGUUGGGGGAAUGAUACAGAUGACGAAAGGAUGAUCCGUGAUCUUGUACAUAUUAGUGCAUCAGCCGAUUUAAAAGAGAUCAACUUUCACGAUCGACCCCUCUCUUAGCGAUGGAUGGACGGUAGUGAUUCACACCACCAGCUGGGAUGAAAACCGUGGAUAACAGAGUAGCUUGAAUAUUGAUUAAACAAAUAUAGUAUAUAGUAGUCCAGAGAAAGUAAAGAUGUUGAUACAUUUUCAUCAAGGAAGAGGAGAUGUUGAUAAUCAAGGAAGAGGAGGGUGAUUCCCAUACAUUCACCGCUUUUAUUGAUGUUCCACGAAUCCAGAAAAGGAGGAGGCGGUUGUACGACCUAGCUCUCGUCAAAGGUGGAGGGGAGGGCGGCUCAUCGACAGCAGCAGCACCAGAGUAAGACAUUUGGAAUGAGGGUUCUAGGUUUUCGGGGGAGGAUAAACUUAGAGAGCUUGUGUGUGAAGCUUGAUUCCAGUCUCAAGCCUCUCGUAUUUCUACGGUUUGAUGUCUUCUUUGGUUUUGAUACGCAUCAAGCGUUGAUAGUAAAGUAAGGGAAACAGAGAGUUCGUAGGAGUUACGGAUUUUAAUGUGAACUGAAAAUUCAUUGCAUAUGGUAAGAGAGUAAAGUUCAAGGGAGUGGCCAAAAGAGAAGGAAAUGAAGAGAAACGGGAGGUAGAAAGGUGAGAGGAAAAUUGACUUUCCAAACAACGGCGGAGACAGUGUUGGUCAACCGUCGAAGAUGAAUACUACUUCAAACCACAAUCGACCUAAUCCUAAACGCAGAGUUUGGUUUACUUACCAGAAAACUUAAGGUGAUGAAGGGCUUCACUAUGGAUUUUGGGCUGAAUUGAAUUUCUUAACAGGAACAGUAGUAAAACAUAUAUUACGGGCCACAACAAAAUUAAUUUAGUCUAAACCAAUGUACGAAGACUGAAUAUUUCUGGUCUAAGUGGGAACCACCAAAACCAUUAGAUUUUAGGUUGGGCUGCCAAAAGUUUUUAAUGGGCUGCGAAGACUAACUUAAUUUUUGGAAUAAUUUUUGUAUUCCAAGCCAGUCCGCGAUGACCUGUCAUUUUAAUUGGCCAGGAAUAUUUCAUCUGACAUGGCACCAUUUAGAAGCUCCAAAAAUAGCUCCUUUUAUAUAGUAAGACUAGGUAACAACCCGCGCCUUGCGCGGGAUGUGAUUAUUAGUUUCGUUAUUUUUAAUAAAAAAGACAAUAAAUCUGUUUAAUCUGGAUAUUGGUUAGGUUUUACGUUUUUUUGUUUUUAAUCUUCUAAAAUAUAACUAUUAUUUUAAAUUAAUAUUCAUUUUAGUUUAUUCGGUUAAAACAUUUGAUUUUUUGGUUUUUUCGGAUAAAAACCUAAAAUUAAUAUUAUAUAUUUAUUUUCAUAUUAUGAAGUUUAGAUAAUUGUCAUGUCGAAUCAAUAGUUUCAUAUUAUAGUUUUUAAACAGAUAAUAGUUUAAGAAAAAGAAAAGAAAAUUAUAAGACAAAUCAUUUCACUACAAUUUGGUCGGUAGUGAAAGAAACAUUAAGAAAAAAUUUGCUCAUCUUCAAGUUCCAAGACCAUAUGGUCAGCUUCCACCAACUAUGCAUGGGAUGAUGCAACCACCACCUAUGCAUGGGAUGCCGCCUCCACCACCACAUGAGGAGGCACCGCCGCCUCUUCCUGAGGAGCCAGAGCCAAAGAGACAAAAAUUCGACGAGUCGGCUCUUGUUCCAGAAGAACAGUUCCUUGCUCAGCAUCCGGUAAUGUUUUCUAUAAACCCUUCAAUCCUUUUCUUUUGUCUGAGUUGUGUCUUACAUAAUUUUGUUUUAAAUGUAUGCAGGGUUCUGCUACGAUCAGGGUCUCUGUUCCAAACGUGGAUGAUGGGCAGGUCAUUGAGAUCACGGUGCAGUCAUUAUCCGAAAACGUGGGAAGUUUGAAAGAGAAGAUAGCUGGUGAAACACAGAUUCCAGCAAACAAACAGAAGUUGAGUGGAAAAGCUGGAUUCUUAAAGGACAACUUGUCACUUGCACAUUACAAUGUUGGAGCAGGUGAAAUGUUAACACUGUCUUUGAGAGAACGUGGUGGGAGAAAGAGAUAGAGAGUCAGCUGGUGGAUGCAGAGAAAUGCUUUAUAAUUCUACUUUAGAUAUUUUCAAAACUUGGUGGCCAAAACUAUAUGUACUGCUAUCUUUUUCGCACAUCCUUACUCUUUGGCCAUUGCCUCUAGUAUCUGUUGAAGUUUUAGAUUGAAGAGGAAAGAUUAUUAUAGACUUGAGUUCGUUUUGCAGCUAGUUCUGAGGUAACGUUUUGGCAAACUCCUCUUUACCGUCUGAUACUUUGUUCUGCAUUUGCCUUGAUCAUGCGUCUUCCUACUAUGGUACACACGAUAUUAUUGAUAUUACAAUACUGAAACAUAUAGCAUGGCUAAUUACCAGCAUAAGCUCUCAAAACCAAACUCUUGCUUUUAACCAUGGUACUAUUUUUACUUGCUUCACUUCGAUUGUAUCAAACAACGUUACAAUAGAUGAGACAUGUCUGAAACAAUAUGAAACAUUAAUAGAAAAUAAAACAGACUUUAAGUUUCUAUAAUGAGAUUUACGACUACACAAAAAAAAUAAAGUAAACACUACAGUGGCCUAUACAUAACUACUACAACAUUUUUGAAGUGCCCUCUGGAUGACUCUGAAACCAUCUUGUAUCGUAUGGGUCGUCGACUCUUUAUCAAGAAGCAAGUUGAAAGAAGAAAACAGAGAGUUGGGUUUCAUCCUUAUUUGGUUGAUCCUAAUAUAUAAUAAAGUUUCCCUAAUGCUUGAUGAUUUGAAGAGAAGGUGUGACAAAAGAAGAUGAUCGGACGCGAGACUGUCUACUUCUCCGGGAAGAGAACCAAAGACAAGAAGAGAAAACAACUCUCAAAACUCUUCUCAGGACUUCUCCUCUCUUUGGGACUAGACUAGAUUCUCUUCCAGCCAUUUCUUUUUUUCUUUCUGCUCGGUUUAUGUCGGUUUGAUUUGGUUUAGUAGUAGUGAGGAGAUAUGUGUCUGCAAGCUGGAAC